UUGAUGCGUGCGCCGGUCUUCAAAUCCGUGUU
rnacentral:tRNA from 16 species